UUUGGUGAUGAUGGCGAAGAGGUCACACCCGUUCCCAUUCCGAACACGGAAGUUAAGCUCUUCAGCGCCGAUGGUAGUUGGGACUUUUUCCCUGUGAGAGUAGGACGUCGCCAAGC
rnacentral:rRNA from 1 species